rnacentral:rRNA from 1 species
UACAGAGGGUGCGAGCGUUAAUCGGAAUUACUGGGAGUAAAGCGCGCGUAGGCGGCUUUGCAAGUCGGGUGUGAAAUCCCCAGGCUUAACCUGGGAACUGCAUUCGAGACUGCAUUGCUAGAGUAUGGGAGAGGGAAGUGGAAUUUCCGGUGUAGCGGUGAAAUGCGUAGAGAUGUGGAGGAACACCGAUGGCGAAGGCAGCCCCCUGGGGUAACACUGACGCUCAUGCACGAAAGCGUGGGGAGCAAACAGG